AGGGAACUCGAGUAAUGUUUAGGAAGAAGUUGCAAAUGGCGUUUGGUUGCUAGUUGUAUUUUAUAGUACGUGCUGAAUAAUUGCAAUAGUGUCGUCGCAAUCGCGUAGGAAUAAGGCCAGUACCAUUGAGAUGGGCCGAUCAAGAUCGCGGAGCAGAACCCCAAAGCGUCACAAGUCAAAGCGCUCGCACAAAAGACGUUCAAGAUCCAGAGACCGAGAAAGACGUAGACAUCGCGAGCGGGACAGAGAGAGGUCGAAAGACCGACCUUCCAAAGCGACCCGAAAGCUUUCAAGGUCAUCAUCCUCAUCCACUAGUAGUGAUGAAGACCCAAGAACAAGAGAAAAGAAAAUCGAUGAAGUUGACAGAUUAGCAGAGUUGGAAAGAGUUAGGAGGCAGAGGGAAGCAGAGCAAAAGAUGGUAGAGGAGGUUGCUGCUAAAAGAUUGGAAGAGUUGGUAGCCAGGAGAGUGGAGGAAGAGUUAGAAAAGAGAAGGGAAGAAAUAGAAGCAGAAGUUUUAAGGAGAGUGGAGGAGGCUAAGAGCCUCAUGGAACAGCAGAUGUUGGAGGAACUGCAAGAGAAACGACGACAGCAGGAGGAGGACCAGAAAAAGAGAGAGGUAGAGCUUCAAUUGUGCUUCAGCGGGGAGUUUUUAUUGGCAUUGCCAAAUAUGACCUACUUGAGCUCCAAUGUGGGUACGGUUGGGGAGGGUUUGAAAGCUUUUGGUCCAGGUUAAUGUGCAAGAUCAGGCCAACAUAAGGAUAAGCCACUCUUGCUACACACAACCAGGACCAUUUAAAGUUUUCCAUCAACGAAGAGUCAAGGAAAUAUAUGUCAGCUAAGGGAGGGAUUUCCAUUUAAUAAAGUGAAAUUAUUUGAAAUAUUAGAAAAAAAAUACCACAAAAACAGAUACCUAGUGCAUUGUCUUUUUUGUUGGAAGGGGCUCUUAAUGUCAGUGAAAAAUACUGUCAAUUCUCACUAUUUCAGCUACAGUACUUUUUUAUGAGUAUGGGUGGUUAGCUCUGCUACUAAUAGGACAUUCGUAGAGGUUUUGCUAUUUGCUAACAGACGUUAUUUUUCUUCCAUGUACAGUCUAUACAGUAUAUCAUAUUGCAGGGUGAACUUCAGUAGUAAACACACUUGUACUUCUUUAUUAUGCUCUGUUUGUGUGAGUGUUUGUGAACUUCUGUGUCCCUCUGCUUGCAGAUUUGUGUUGUCAUUUAUUUAUAUAGGAUUAACAUUUGGCAUUGUCACCUAGGAAGUCUAUGAUGUCUCGCUAGAAGAAAAGUUUUUUUUUUAAAUUUUUUUUUUGUUUUUUUGUGUGGGGGUGGGGUAGUAGAAAAUUAUAUAUGAUGAGCAAAUUACAUUGCCAUUAUUGUGAUAAGGGGGAGAACUUGAAUAUUUAAGUAACUUGUUUUGUGAAUGUAUGUCUUGUGUGCACACUGGGUAUUUAGCUAGUGUGUGUAUCAGAGUAAUUUUCACAGCUAGCUAGGAUCAUUUGAAGUUAAUCUCUUUGGGGCCUUGUCCUUGUGGGACUUUCUAAGAGGUUUGCCUUUUAACCAUUUAACCACUGUAAUGGUUUGCUAGUAGAAGAUACCAGUUUAGUAUUAUGAAUGUCUGUGUAAUAAGACCACUGACUCAUAUCUUUAGAUGAAUACAGGCUUGUCUGAAAGACUUGCUCUGGAGCUGAGUAACUGGUUUAUGAUUUUACACAAAGAAGUACAGAUGAAUAGGAAUUUGUUCUAGAGGUAAAGAAUUUGUAAAUUUCAUGUCUAUUUUUGUGUAUCAUUAAUGGUUGAAGCUUCAUGGAACUUUCACAUUGAAUGGUUAUUGUAUUAUGUUCUCAGAUGUAGCUCCAUGAAUUUUACAGUAGAUUCAAUUGAGAUAUUUAGUUGUUAAACUUAGGUGUUUGUACAGCAGGUUAGCCAGACUGUAGAGUUUUGAUUCAUAGUCAUGUUGAAUGGCUAAUAAUUUGAACCUACUUUAAGAUUUAGGAUGUGUAAGUGUUUAUUGCAUCUGAGAAGUUUAGUUAGCUGGAUAUGGCAAUGAAAAUCAUAAAAAAGCUUUUGCUGGAAUCAUAACAUUUUCAGGGAAUCUAGUCAAGAUUUUUAAGGAUUAGUUAUUUUCCUUUAGAUAUAAUAAGUACAAACCCAUUGGCUAGCUUAUGAAAGUCAGUAAUGUUGCUCUUUGGUCUGUAAGCUAUUUAUUGACUAUAAUUUUCUUUUCUUUUACAUUCAGUUGACGAAGGUAUUCAAAAGAGUAGAUUGAAAUGCAAUGACAAUUACCUACCUGAUGAACUCCCAGUUGUUUGUCUACUCUUCAAGAUGUCUUUGGAAACAAAGAAUACAAAAUACAGACCUUUUUUCUCAACUCCACAUCAUAUGUGCCAAAUAACAUUGCAUUUAUGAAUUGAAAAGUUGCAGAAAUUAAGUUAACUUCUUGGUUUUGGAAAGUUCUUUAGAGAAAUGAGACAGCAUUUGUUGGGACUUGUCCAAAUCAUAUGCAUCAUGGUACUAAGUUAUUUGCAACCAUGAUUGAUUUAAAAGAUAAACCAGAAGGAUAAGUAGCCCAUGUGAAAGUUUUUGUUUUCUCAUUACGUAGGUAGACUGUCAUUAUUAAUGGUAUAUUAUUUUAUGAAUACAAAGAAAUUACCUUAACCCUGGAUAGGUUUCGCUAUUUUGCUACCCCUUCAAAGGUGCGUGGGGUCGAGCUCGACCUGAGCGCCCAGAAAAAUUUGUGAAAAUUCAGAAACUGCAGCUAUGCUGUACAUUUUAAUUUUGAAGUCAAUUUCGCCAUUGCCAAACACUACUGAGAAGAUAAAUCAUGCCCAUCUACAAAUUAAUUAGUUAUUACAAAUAUAUUAAAAAAAUAAGUAUACACAAAAAAUAACUAAAAUAUUUUUAAAAAAUACAAAAUACGCUAUAUACACACAAAAAUUGAGGGAAUCCUUCCUAAAACUACUAUUUACAAUAUGUUACUGCCAGAAGAGGUGUCGGACCCAUAGAAGUCAAAAUCAGAAAAGAUAAAAAAAAAAGGGUGUGUUUUUUGGCUAAAAAAAAUGGUCAAAAUUUUGGGAAUUUUUUUGGUACCUAAAUGAAAUAGAAAGUGGCUAAAUUUUAUAGAAUAAACUCAUUAUCCUAGAACGGAAUCAUGUAAAAAGAUCCACACUAAGAUGUAAUUUACUGCCAUAUCAGAAAUGUUAUUUCUCUCUCUCUCUCUCUCUCUCGUCUCCUCUCUCCUCUCUCUCUCUCUCUCUCUCUCUCUCUCUCUCUCUCUCUCUCUCUCUCUCUCUUUACACUGUGUCAUGAUUUACUGACAUAAGCUCAUGUAAUCUGUCACCAGAAAAGGCACAGACCCACUAGUUGCCACCCUCUCUCUCCCCCUCUUGUGUCGUAAUCAUUGCAAGGUCAUCACCCUCGCCUCCAACCCUUUGUUACACAAACUUCAGGUUUUUUUUCCAAUAGAGGUGUCACCAACCUCUAAAUUAUCAUCAACAUCACUUUUUAAUUCCAUUAAAAGUAAGUUGAUGACAUCCAUGCCCAGGGAAUACUGCCUGCUGGCCAUUGUUAAUGAAAAAUGACAAAAAAUGCAAAAAUUGAGAAAUUGGCAUUCCAAAGAAAUUGGACCAAAUGGCAAUAUGUAUAAGGCAUCUCAGCCACAACCAAUGGCAUGCAUAAUGUACACACACCAUCUACCUACAGUUUCCAACAAUAUAAAACCAUCCCAGAGUCAACAGUGUUAGACAGGAAAUCACUACUUGAUAACAUUGCCUUUGUAUCCCCCACAUGUUCAAAACAAACUAUUACUCAGAAAAGGGAAAGGACAAAGGCAAGGCAAUUGACAUGAUUGUAGUGUGUGUUCUGCUAGCCUCUUGCAGGUCGAUCACGCCCAGUUUCGAGAUAGACAAUGAUUUAUGGGAAACAACAAUGUAUUUUUAAACACUCCUUGGGUCAUGCUCGACCCAUCGCACCUAUUCAGGGUUAAAUUGUGCAAAACUCUAUUAGUAAUAAUCAAAAUUUAAUCUUGAGGGAUUCCUGAGGACAGAGUUCAUCCAACAAAUUUUUCCAAAUUAAUCCUUUCAUCCUUUCAAGUAGGAGAGGCUGUUGCCUCCCGCAAGGUUAAACAGCCUUUAUUUUGUAAGACCUGGCUAGAUAUGAGUACUGAUUGCCUCUUAAUUGAUCAUAGCAUAAAAAAUAUUACCAAGGAACAGUGAGUGUAGCAUGAAAAAUAUCAGUGUCAAGGGGCAGUGAGUGACUGGGAGUGCUUGAUAGCACUUUACUGUGCAUUACUGGAAGCUUGCCACCUCUAGAUUAUUAUUUUAUUUGUACGUUUUGGUGACAGUACUUAAUUGGGUUUGUGUGGAAAAAUGUCAUCUGUGAAGCAGUUUGUUUAUCAUCCACAGCUUCUCUUAGUUUUAUGUUCAACCCUGCCUUAAAAGUUGUGUAAAUAGUGGGUCUGAAUCUGGGUGUACACUACUUUUAUUUGGAAAUAACCCCCCAAAAAAUAGAAGUAUUGAGAGGCUUAACAUAUAUGCUGAAAGCACAAGCAUUAUGUGGCUCAUAAUUGAUGUCUUGUAAAUAUGGCUUGCUUACUUGGCUUAUAAUUUGCUAAGACAUUGAGUUUAUUAGUGUAUAACAAAAGAUCUACAUAGUACUUCAUUUAUUUGUAUUGCAGUUCCCAUUAUUUUUGCACAUCACUUAAAACUUUCUUUUUUGGGGUUCUGUAGUUUCAGAUAAGUUUCUUUAUUAAUCCUAGACUAGAUAUACUGGGUAAUAUUCCUAGUCUAAAUAAAACCUUCCUAUUAAGCUGCAAGUAAUACUAAGCUAAAGAUUUGGAACUAAUGGAGUUAAGAUAGCAUCUUAUCAAAUGAUUGUAAAUAGUUACUGGGAUUGAUGAUUGACUUUGGCCUAUACUAGUAAUUUAAUGGGAGACUACAGUCAAUCUGUCUUUAAAAACAUAUUUUCAAAAGUGAGAAUCCUUAUGUCAAAUUUUUAACCAAAAAACAUCCUUGACAACAGCUGAUAUUUUCAAAAGUGAGAAUCCUUAUGUAGAAUUUUUAACUUAAAAAAUACCUUUAACAACAGCUGAAUUGUUUAAUAAUGCAUUGAUUGAAACUUAUGCACAGUAUUGAUAGUGUAGUUGUGUAGAUGAUGAAAUUAUUCCAAACGUUCCUUCUUAUUGCAGUUCAUUUAUGAAUACACAAGGGUAAAGUUUUGAGUAAAUAUUGGUUAAUAUUUUAAUUCCAACUCUUCAUACUAGGCACUGUAGUAUUACUAAGCUUGGAAAUGAAUUGGUUAGUGAAAUGAGGGCUAGGUUGGCACGUUAUGUUGCUGCUUGGUAAAGUAUUGUGAAUGCAAAUAUUUUAGUUAUAACUUUGCGUGCUAGGCUCUAGUUUUACUAGGCUUUGGAAAUAAUUUCUUUUACCAAAAUGAUUGCUAGGUUGGCGUGUGAUUUUGCUUGUUCAGGUGACCUAUUUGGCAGGGAUUUAUUUGUAUUGUAACUUUCUUGUGACUCAAGCACUGGGUAUGUGGUGGAAAAUAAUGAGAAUUGAUUGUAUCUUUCAUAAUGUAACUGGAAAGUUGAUCUCACAUACAAUAAGUACAGUAUUGUGACUAUAAUUGCUUAACAGUAGGAACUUAUGGAAUGUAUAACGUAAAAUUGCAUAAAGUGCUACAUAUUUUUUGUGAUUUAUUGUUAGGAAAAAAAAUAGAGGAUAUUAGAUGAAUAAAAUUCCAUUUUGCAUGAAAACUAACUCAAACUCUUUCAGCUGAACUCUGUGUUUUGAAAGUGAAGUGUGAAUUUGAACCACUUUAAAAAAAAUUCCAGAGCUGUGCCUUACAGAAACAUAAGCUAUAGCAUGAGUUGCAGAUUGACCCACGGUUCUCCCAGACAUUUGCCAAGCAUAGUGUGCAAUGAUGCAGUUCUGAGUUUUUCUUCAGUCUUUUUUUGCUCAUCAGAACAGUAGCUAUAUUGUUUGGACAUUUCUUCUUGAUUUUAUAUUUCUUUCCUGUUCAUGGUGUAUUUAACGAGGUUAUAAGAGAGCAAGAGAGAGUGCUAGUGUGUGUGUGUGCGGGCAUUUGAGUGCAUACAUGUUGAAUAGAGAAAUGGGAGUGUGUUGCCUGUCUGGAAACACAAACAUAGCACAGUGUGGCAAAAAAAAGGCUCUAUUUUUAGUGAACAAUCACUAAACAGAAUAGACAUUUUAUUGGCGGAUUUCAACCAAGAAUUGUCAGCUGUGGAUUUUAGGCCCGAGCUGUUCUAGGAGUGGAUUUGGCGGCUUCCAUAUGGUAACUAUAUAACAGGAGGAGGAACGUAAACAGCGAGAAGCAUUGGAACGCAUCAUGGAAGAAAACAAGCGCAAGAUUGAAAUAGCUCAGAUGAAACUAGCAGAGCAACAACUCCAGAUGGUGGAAGAGCAGCGCAAGAUGGAUGAGGAACGGCAGAGGAUCAAAAGGGAACAGGAAAAGCGUACACGUGAGGAGCAAAAAAUAA